rnacentral:rRNA from 1 species
UAGGGAAUCUUCGGCAAUGGACGAAAGUCUGACCGAGCAACGCCGCGUGAGUGAAGAAGGUUUUCGGAUCGUAAAACUCUGUUGUUAGAGAAGAACAAGGACGUUAGUAACUGAACGUCCCCUGACGGUAUCUAACCAGAAAGCCACGGCUAACUACGUGCCAGCAGCCGCGGUAAUACGUAGGUGGCAAGCGUUGUCCGGAUUUAUUGGGCGUAAAGCGAGCGCAGGCGGUUUCUUAAGUCUGAUGUGAAAGCCCCCGGCUCAACCGGGGAGGGUCAUUGGAGACUGGGAGACUUGAGUGCAGAAGAGGAGAGUGGAAUUCCAUGUGUAGCGGUGAAAUGCGUAGAUAUAUGGAGGAACGCCAGUGGCGAAGGCGGCUCUCUGGUCUGUAACUGACGCUGAGGCUCGAAAGCGUGGGGAGCAAACAGG